rnacentral:rRNA from 1 species
CAGCCGCCGCGGUAAUACCGGCGGCCCGAGUGGCGGCCACUAUUAUUGGGCCUAAAGCGUCCGUAGCCGGGCUGGUAAGUCCUCCGGGAAAUCUGGUCGCUUAACGAUCAGACUUCCGGAGGAUACUGCUGGCCUAGGGACCGGGAGAGGCCGAGGGGAUUCCCGGGGUAGGGGUGAAAUCCUGUAAUCCCGGGAGGACCACCUGUGGCGAAGGCGCUCGGCUGGAACGGGUCCGACGGUGAGGGACGAAGGCCAGGGGAGCGAACCGGAUUAGAUACCCGGGUAGUCCUGGCUGUAAACGAUGCGGACUAGGUGUCGGGCAAGCUAAGGGCUUGUCCGGUGCCGCAGGGAAGCCGUUAAGUCCGCCGCCUGGGGAGUACGGCCGCAAGGCUGAAACUUAAAGGAAUUGGCGGG